AGCCUUCUGGGGGCCAUAUGGCAGUGGCGGAUGGGGCCAGAGUCAAAGUGGCCAGAGCAACAAAUGUGGAUCCUGACUUUAUGCACCAGGCUGCUUUUUGCAUCCCUUUCUAUUCCCCACCCAGGCAAGCGUUCAAGGACACAGUAGGGGUGUGGCCUAGGAAAUAGGUGUGUCCUGAGGGCAGGUAGAUGGUUCCCCAUCCUUGAGGUUCUCAAUCCCUGCCUUGAUCUGGCCUUUAUGCUUGAAAGGAGGCGGAGAGGAAGGAGUGGAGCCCUGCUUUCCUGGAGUAAGAACCUUCCAAAUCCCCAAGAAUUAAGCAUCAAGAAAGGGGGGCUACUGCCAUGAUCAUGGAAUCAUAGAAUUGUAGAUGCUUCUUGUUGGAUCAUCAUCAGCAUAACACUAAAUCUCAGUUUUUGGGGAACAGUGGGAGAGGGCUGCCGUGUUCAUGUCCUGCUUGAGAGCUUCCCAGAAGCAUCUGCUUGGUCACUGUGGGAAGCAAAUACGAGACUGGAUAGGCCUUUGGUCCGAUCCUGCAGGGCUCUUUAAAUGUUCUUAGGAGAAGCUAUGGAGCAAAUGGUCAUGCUGGGAAAUAGCCUGCCUGCUGGUGACAAGCUGUCCAUGUCAGCUUGGUCUUGUCAGGUGGCCUAUGACAUUAGUGAAGAAACGCUGAUAUUCCCAUAGGCUGUAAGCUGGCACACAGCUGACUACUGAUCCAUCUAGAAGAGAAGAAGAGUUUGGAUUUGAUAUCCCGCUUUAUCACUACGCUAAGGAGUCUCAAAGUGGCUAACAUUCUCCUUUCCCUUCCUCCCCCACAACAAACACUCUGUGAGGUAAGUGGGGCUGAGAGACUUCAGAGAAGUGUGACUGGCCCAAGGUCACCCAGCAGCUGCAUGUGGAGGAGCGGAGACGCAAACCCAGUUCACCAGAUUACGAGUCUACCACUCUUAACCACUACACCACACUGGCUCUACAUACAGAAGCGGAAGAGGUUCAUAAAAAAUAAAGGUUGCUCAUUUUGGCUCAGCGUUUUAUAAUGUGAUUAUACUCCUUUGAACAAAAGUUUGGCGAAGUGGUAAAAAGACGGCAAAAUCGUUUGUGCAUCGACCAAAAUUCCUGGGGAGUGGCGGCACUUGGGUGUUGCCAGGAAACAGUAUCUCCGCUUACUGACUCAAUUAACUGGAGUGAAGCAAGGGGCAGGUGCUGAUUCAGGUGCACAGGAGAUGGGGUUCUUUGUAGAAACUGCCUUACCUUAAUUAAGUUGGACCUACCUACCCUUUCUCCCUUUUAUUGCUGUGCGUUAAGAAGCAAAAGGGGGGACGGGACAGAAAGAGGAAGGCCAUCAUCUCACGUGGAAAGAUCACCAUCUACUGGCCAGCGAUCAUAUUAGGAAGUAGAACACAAACUGUCUCCCUUCACAGACUUUAAGUUAUGGGUAGGCAAACUAACUCCUUCAUGGAUCACUGCCUUGCCGUGGCGAAGGGGCUUGAAUAACUCACAGAAGCUAUGAGCUAUGCCGUGCUGGACCACCCAAGAUGGACAGGUCAUAGUGGAGAGUUUUGACCAAACGUGAGCCACCUGGAGCAGGAACCGGCAAGCCACUCCAGUAUCCCUGCCAAGAACCAUGGACAAA